AACGAACGCUGGCGGCAGGCCUAACACAUGCAAGUCGAGCGCGCCUUCGGGUGAGCGGCGGACGGGUUAGUAACGCGUGGGAACGUGCCCUUCUCUACGGAAUAGCCUCUGGAAACGGAGAGUAAUACCGUAUACGCCCUUUGGGGGAAAGAUUUAUCGGAGAAGGAUCGGCCCGCGUUAGAUUAGGUAGUUGGUGGGGUAACGGCCUACCAAGCCUACGAUCUAUAGCUGGUUUUAGAGGAUGAUCAGCAACACUGGGACUGAGACACGGCCCAGACUCCUACGGGAGGCAGCAGUGGGGAAUCUUAGACAAUGGGGGCAACCCUGAUCUAGCCAUGCCGCGUGAGUGAUGAAGGCCUUAGGGUCGUAAAGCUCUUUCGCCUGUGAUGAUAAUGACAGUAGCAGGUAAAGAAACCCCGGCUAACUCCGUGCCAGCGGG
rnacentral:rRNA from 1 species